UACGGAGGAUGCAAGCGUUAUCCGGAUUUAUUGGGUUUAAAGGGUGCGUAGGCUGUUUUCCAAGUCAGCGGUGAAAUGCCGGGGCUUAACCCCGGAACUGCCAUUGAUACUGGGAGGCUUGAAUGCGGAUGCCGUGGGAGGAAUGAGUAGUGUAGCGGUGAAAUGCAUAGAUAUUACUCAGAACACCGAUUGCGAAGGCAUCUCACGAAUCCGCUAUUGACGCUGAGGCACGAAAGCGUGGGGAUCAAAC
rnacentral:rRNA from 1 species